AACUUCCAGUCCCCUUCGUACAUGCCAGCAAGGGAACUGUGAAGAAAAAGAUGUUUGGCUGAUGGAAGCUCACUCCACAUGAUUGCAGUCUUCAGAAGGCAGCUGAGACUUAUCACAUAAAAGCAGAUAAAGGGAAGAACACCCUUUUCCUCUUAGCUGUCUCCUCUAUUGGUGCCUAAGAAACAGCUGCUCUACAAGAACAAAAUUCAACUAUCAAAGGACUUCAAAACUCCCAGCAAACCCGAACAGGACAGCAUCCUCCCUCCAAGGUGCCUGCUGGACAUCUGUUGAGCUGUGAAAUUCAGCUCUGUUUGGCAUAGGCUUCAGCAAAACACCAGCAUUUCCUUACUCACUGCGCAGGCAGACCUUCUCUCAUCUAGGAAAUGCUAGGAAAGCAACUCUCUCGAACAAGAACUUGGAACAGACUGAGGUAAACUAACUGUGUUCGGUGCUUGGAAAAAACACCCUUACACUGAAUGUACUUUUAUGAACAUUUAAGCUAGAUGACUCAAACUAACAAUGCCUAGGCUUGAGUGGUCGCGUUUAUUCUGAAGUAACUAAGAAAAAUCAAGUUAAGUUUAGAACUGAGCUUUGGCUUUUUGGCUUUUAGGUGCAUAAUGCUCAAAAAAAAAAAAAAAACACCUUACAGUGACUGGAGCAAGAAUCACUGGGCUCAGAAAUAACAGGAUUAGGACUAAAGUCCUUCUAAAACGAAUCAACCUCAC